GGGGAUAUAGCUCAGUGGUAAAGUGCCUGCUUGGUAAGCAUGAGGUCCUGAGUUUGAUUCCUGGUACCG
rnacentral:tRNA from 1 species